UUUGGGGACCGUUGAUUUAAUUUUUCUAAAUUACUUUGAUGGAAGCCAAUUUAAUCGCAGUGGCUUGAACCGGGCAAAAGUCGUAACAAGGUAGCUGUAGGUGAACCUGCUGCUGGAUCAUUAC
rnacentral:rRNA from 1 species